rnacentral:lncRNA from 1 species
GUAAAAAUAACACAAGGUUCCUAGUAUUAAUCUCCACACAAUCAACACAUUUCACCUCAAACAUGCCUAGCAGUGUGGGUUACACAAAUGCUAUAUGGCCAAAAUAUUAUUAAUACUAAACCCGGUAAAAAUAACACAAGGUUCCUAGUAUUAAUCGCAAAUUAACACAACCAAUCAUAUUCCAGAAUACCUAACUAUCCACAACUUAGCGAUAUCAUC